rnacentral:rRNA from 1 species
AGUGAACGCUGGCGGCGUGCCUAAUACAUGCAAGUCGAACGGACGAGUAAGAGCUUGCUCUUAUGAGUUAGUGGCGCACGGGUGAGUAAUGUAUAGCUAAUCUGCCCUACACUAGAGGACAACAGUUGGAAACGACUGCUAAUACUCUAUACUCCUCUCUAGCAUAAGUUAGAUAGGGAAAGUUUUUCGGUGUAGGAUGAGGCUAUAUUGUAUCAGCUAGUUGGUGAGGUAAUGGCUCACCAAGGCUAUGACGCAUAACUGGUCUGAGAGGAUGAUCAGUCACACUGGAACUGAGACACGGUCCAGACUCCUACGGGAGGCAGCAGUAGGGAAUAUUGCUCAAUGGGGGAAACCCUGAAGCAGCAACGCCGCGUGGAGGAUGACACUUUUCGGAGCGUAAACUCCUUUUGUUAGGGAAGAACAAUGACGGUACCUAACGAAUAAGCACCGGCUAACUCCGUGCCAGCAGCCGCGGUAAUACGGAGGGUGCAAGCGUUACUCGGAAUCACUGGGCGUAAAGGACGCGUAGGCGGAUUAUCAAGUCUCUUGUGAAAUCCUAUGGCUUAACCAUAGAACUGCUUGGGAAACUGAUAAUCUAGAGUGAGGGAGAGGCAGAUGGAAUUGGUGGUGUAGGGGUAAAAUCCGUAGAGAUCACCAGGAAUACCCAUUGCGAAGGCGAUCUGCUGGAACUCAACUGACGCUAUGCGUGAAAGCGUGGGGAGCAAACAGG